AUAAUCGAUGAUCCACGAUACACCUUACCACUUUUUGCCACUCCAGCCUGUAUACCUCCGUCGACAGCUUACCGUUUGAAUGCCACAAAGUAAGUUCAACGGCCCCCCACGCCAAUACGUCAGGUCAAGGUGCAGCCUAUAAAGCGGAAAGCAAUGGGCUACAAUUUCUAAUCUAGAACAAACGAAAAACUACAUGAAACAUAGUCAUGAAGGCGGAUUUAGCAGUAAAAGAAAAGCAAUAAGCUUCUUU
rnacentral:rRNA from 1 species